GGUGAGAUAAAAGUGCACACAGAAGUCUGCAAUUUCCAACAGGACAUGGGUGUUAUCACACUCAGGUGACAACUGAGGAAACAGAGGUCCCAAGGGGGGCAGGAAGAUAACUAGCUCGAGGGCUCUCGGCCCAAGGAUGAAGCUGAUUAUCGGGAAUGCAAAAACAGGAGGCGGUACAGAAGCAGGAAGCUCAGAUGUCACAGCUUGGCUCAGUUCCUUGGACCAAUCACAGGACAAGUGUGAAUUUGUGCCUGGUAGUGAGUUGUGGCAACAUUGAUGCUCACCCUUAAUUCUCUGCAGCCUCUCAAUCAAGUCACAGGCAGCACGCGGAACUCAUUCCAGCCUCAGGGCCUGUGCCUUUGCUGUUCCCCCAGCUUGGAAUCCACUGCCCACCCCCCACCCCCCAUGGCUGACUCUGUCUUCUUUCCAAGCCCCAUUUCACCAGGAGAAACUUUCCUUGUGGCCUCAGCACUGCUCAUAUGAAGUCUGUGUUUACAUUCUCAUAGGCCUGGAAUAUCAUGUCUCCAGUCCAAUUAUUUUGUGUUAUCUGCAUACGUGUCUGUCUCCCUGCUACACUGUGAACUCCAUGAGGGCAGAAACAAUGUUUGUAUUUUCACUGCUGUGUCUCCAGCGCCCAGUCCAGGGCCUGACACACAGCAGGUGCUCAAUAAACAUUUGUAGAAUCAAUAAA